rnacentral:lncRNA from 1 species
GAUGAUAGAAGGAGAAUAGGCACCUAACUCCAAAGGUUUAAACUUACUUUCCCAAAAAUAUCCUACUUAAACAUAAGCCAAGUUACAACCUGAAAAGAGCUCAAAUAUGUGUGUUGUGAUUUCUAUGAUGAAUUAUAUUAUAACAUCAAGCUAAGCAUAAUUUAUUUUUAUAUUUUGAUUGAGAGAUAAUCAUAUCCAUUGAGUGAGUCAAUGUGAGCUGAGAGACAGGUUGAGUACUCGUCAAAGCUUAGGGACAUUUUUCGAAUUU